rnacentral:lncRNA from 1 species
GCCUAAGCUGAACAUGAAGAAUAGGUUUCACCUGAACCAGCUCCACACUUCAAACCCCCCUUAACAGUACGGCGUUCCUAUACUCAAGUGAAGAAAAAACUACAGAAAGACCUAUGAAGAAAGCUACGCUUCAUGUUCUUCACCGCUCUUCACUGAGUUUUUCAUACUUGAAGCCAGUACCUGUACUUCAAUUUUUAGGGGUCGUCGAUGCUGGUUAAACCAACUCUUCUGAGGAACUAAAACCUUUAACACUCCGUGUAACUCAUUAGUUCCUCAACCAUGUUGUCAUCAUUCCUCAAAACCCAUACAGGGGCAAGGUUUUCCUUUCAAUCUCCCGCUUUUUGGUGUUUGAUGACAACACUGGUUAAAGCUUCAAAGAUGGGAAAAAUAAGUGUGAAGGUUUUAGCUUCUGAAUUAUAUGAAGACUCCCCCUGAAGAUAUGCACUAUUUAAGAUUGCGUUUGAAUGCAAGUGCAAAGAACUUUAGAAGUGUGAGGAAAUCUUCAUAUUCUUCAGAAGAAAGGAUGUGCAUUGUGUACAAGGUUUAAGCAGAAAUAAUAAGAAUUCAUACAAGCUCAUUAAUUGAAGUAAACAGAUGCAGCACCAUCAAGUAUUGAAGUAAACAUGCUUGCAUGAGGAAUGAAAAUGCAUGAAGAUUAAAUUUAUUACAGGCAUUGCAGAAUCCUCAUGCAAGAGGCAAUAUUAAGUGUACUUCAACACGACCAAAAGUUUUAACAACGAACGGAUAAGACUUAAAGUUUAAAAACGACGAAGGACCAGAUAAAAAAAGCAAACUCCCCCUGAGUCAAAUAAAGCAAAACCUCCCCCUGACUCCUUCUCCUCCUUUGGCAUCAAGACGCCAAAAAGGUUGAAGACUAUUGGCUCGGAGUAGCUUCGCUGUCUUCAGGCUCCAGGACGUCGGGGUAGUGCUUGGGGAGGAAGUCUUGAAUCAUGCCACUGGUCAGCUUCUUGAGCAGUACUUGCUGAUUCUUCAAAAGAGUGGCCUGCUUCUCAAGGAGAUCCUGUUGAUCGUCAAUCUUGCGGGAGAGCUUCACUACCAGAUUCUUCAAAGAACCAUCCGUGCCGGAGCUGGUCUCAUACUGAGAAUCAGAUGCGCGAAGUGCUUGCUUCAGCUGCGGUAGCGACGGAAUGGGCUGUGAAGACUCCUUGGACGGGCGAUCAGAUACUGAAGUAAGAGGAAGCACAGAUGGCUCUGGAUCUUGUGCUGAUGCUCCGACUCAAAACGCUUCUCUGACAACUGCAAGAUAAUCUUCAUGAUCUGAGGUGCAUAAGGCAGGGCACGCACACGAUCGGCUGAGGCAUGGGUUAUGCUUUGAAGAAUAUAAUCUCCAAAAUCCCAAAGCUCUUCAGCAUGUUCCUGAUGUACUUCGUUUGAGAGAUGAAGAUUCCAUUUUUCAUUUGCUUGAUUUGAAAACCGAGGAAAAACUUCAGUUCUCCCAUCAUACACAUCUCAAACUUCGCCGCCAUCAUCUUUCCAAAUUCUUCGCUGAAAUCAGGGUUAGUGGAACCAAACACAAUAUCAUCCACAUAUAUUUGACACACAAAGAGAUCAUCAUUCAUUUUCUUUGUAAAAAGUGUUGGAUCAAUUUUACCAAUUUUGAAUCCCUUUUUGACUAAGAACAUUCUGAGCCAUUCAUACCAAGCUCGAGGUGCUUACUUCAAGCCGUAGAGUGCCUUAUCAAGUUUAUAAACAUGAUUAGGAUGUUCUGGAUCUUCAAAACCAGGAGGUUGUUCAACAUAAACAAGUUCUUCAAUUUUACCGUUUAAGAAUGCACUUUUCACAUCCAUUUGAUGCAAAGUUAUGUCAUGAUUAUUAGCAUAUGCAAGAAGAAUUCUAAUGGAUUCAAGACGUGCAACAAGGGCAUAGGUUUCACCCAAUCCAAACCUUCAACCUGAGUGAAGCCCUGUGCAACAGGGGCUUCACGACGAUUCAGUCUUCAUCUUGUUUAUUUUUGAAGACCCACUUGAUGCCAAUGACAUUUUGUCUUGGCCUUUCAACAAGGGUCCAUACUUGAUUUCUCUUGAAAUUGUUAAGUUCUUCAUGCAUAGCCAUUACCUAAUCCAGAUCCGCUAAUGCUUCAUAAGUCGUCUUCGGCUCAACUGAAGACACAAAAGAGAAGUGCUCACAAAAGUUUGAAACACGUGAGCGAGUUUGAGUACCUCUUCUGAUGUCUCCAAGGAUUUGAUCGACAGGAAGAUCCUUCUGAAUUCUUUUGCAGAUCUUUGGAUGAUGUACUUCACCACCAGCAGUGCUAGGUUGAGCUUCAUUUGAAGCAGCAGUUUGUUCUUCAGCUGGGGUGGAAGCUUCGGUUUGGUUAGGUUCUUCAGCUUGUGAAGCGCCUUCUUCAUUAUUGAUUCCCGAUUCACUUUGCUUGACUUCUUCUGGACCAAUAUCACCAAUGGCCAUUUUUCGAAUAUUUCCUGAAAUUUCUUCAAUAUCUACAGACAUUGGCAAUUGCUCUUCUUGGGAGCCGUUAGCUUCAUCGAACUGCACAUCCUUAGAAAUUUCAACAACUUUUGUGGUGUUGUUGAAUACUCGAUAAGCAUGUGCAUUCAAGGGAUAACCCAAGAAGAAACCUUCGUCACAUUUAGAAUCAAACUUAGCUCGUCUAUUCUUCUUGUUGAGGAUGUAGCAUUUGCUUCCGAAGACUCUGAAGUAUGACACAUCAGGCUUGCGGUUGGAGAUGAGCUCGUAUGGAGUUAUCUUCAGGAGUCGAUGAAGAUACAAGCGAUUUGAAGCAUGGCAAGCGGUGUUUAUGGCUUCAGCCCAGAAAUGGUCAGGAGUCUUGUACUCGUUCAGGAUGGUCCGGGCCAUUUCAAUCAACGUACGGUUCUUCCUCUCCACCACCCCAUUUUGUUGAGGAACAUGAGGUGCAGAGAACUCAUGCUUCACGCCGAACUCAUCAAGGAAUUCUUCCAUCAUCAGGUUCUUGAAUUCUGUUCCAUUGUCACUUCGCACGCCCUUGAUGGAUACUUCAAAUUCAUUCUGGGCUCUUCGUGCAAACUUCUUGAAGAUCUCAACUACUGUGCUCUUAUCAUCCAAAAAGAACAGCCAAGUGAAACAUGAAUAAUCAUCAACAAUCACAAAUCCAUAUGAGUUACCUCCUAUACUCAUGUAUGUUGUAGGACCAAACAGAUACAUGUGAAGCAACUCGAGAGGUGUUGAAGUAGACAUGACAUUCUUUGCGGGAUGAGACGCUCCAAUUUGCUUCCCAGCUUGGCACGCACUGCAUAAACGAUCAUUUUCAAAGUGAUUCGUACAUCCGGACUCCAUGACCCACUCCUUUCCUCCGAAUGCAUAUGCCUACGAAAAAAGUUAGGCUCAUUUAGGCACCCAUGUCUUCAUGGGUUCCUGCAUGUUUAUAGAACUUGAAGAACACAAGGCAUCACGAAAAAAUGCAAUGACAUAUUUUUGGCAUCCAAAUUUGAGGUUUUGCAUGUUCUCCACGCAUAAUGGUUCCAGUGAAAUUAGCUCUCACUUUGUUAUCCUUAUCCAACCUCAGAAUGUAAGAUUCAUUAACAUGGAAUAUCGGGUAAGCACGUGAAGUAUUGGGACGCUUUGAAGCAUCUUUGGGAGGAUUCAGAUUUCCCACGAAUGGAGGAACCCCAGCAUACUUCCCUCUUCCUUGGACAGAUAUUGUAGGGGAAUAUUGCUCAGGGAGCCAAGCAUCACCGUUGACAUUGUACUUCCUCUCAAAACCGAUACUAUCCUUGCGUCGGCGAGGAAUUUGAAGACCAAGAAUCUGGUUCGAGGUUUCAGUCCCUUGGUGACACUUGAGGAUACCAGCCUCAAUCUGCUUUUUUAACUUAGCAUUUUCUUCAACCAAUGAGAGAUCACUAGGUGAAGGGUUAGUGACAGUAGUGCAAGAUUCACCAAUAGAAGUAGUAAAGCUAGAAGCAAUAUCAGGUGAAUCAAUUGAGGCAGGGAAAUCAGUUUGAGUCAUAGCAUUUGAAGUAUUGAUUUGAGGAAUGUUGUUCAAUGAAGAAUUGCAUUUAAAACAUACUUCAGAGGAAUCAUCGUUUUGAGGUAAGUUGACUAACUUAGCAUUGAGAUCAAGAUUCUCAGAUUUGAGAUCCUCAUAAGAGUUUGUCAGAUUAUCAUGCUCGAGUUUGAUCGAAACAUAGUUAAGACUAGUCUCAGCAUGAAUUUUCUUCGGAUCCUUAUGAGACUCUUCCAUGGCCCGAAAUUGAGUCUUUUGAAUUCAUUAGCCAUGUUAGUAUUCUUCUUGAUCUCAGUGAUAAGCAAGGCCUCUUGCUUCUAAAAAAUGAACUGAAGUCUUUCAUAUGUCAUGGGUUCAGAUUGUUCAUUAUCAGUUUCAUCAUUAUCACUAGAAUUCACUUCAACUUCACUAUGAGAUGAUACCUUAGAGGAUUUGGCCACGAAGAAUGAUGGUGAGUUGCGAUCGUCUCCGAAGGCAUCUUCAGAAGAUGAAUCUGCAGAGUCAAACAGUGAAGUCUUCUCUCUGGCAGAUGAAAUAGCUAUGGCCUAUCCGGCGACGCCGUCUUCAGACUCAGAAUCAGAUGAUUCUUCAGACGAUGAAGAAUCUGAAUUCCAUUCACCAACAUGUGCUCUAGAGUAAUACUCCCCCUUCUUCUUGUGAGCAGAGUCUUUAUUCCAAUCCUUCUUCUUGUGACGGUCAUGGCUCUUCUUGUGAAGAUGUUUCUUGAAUCCCUUCUUCUCCUUGUCUUCAUCAGCUUUCUCGGGACAUUCAGCGAUGAAGUGACCUUUCUUGCCACAGUUGAAGCAAGCUCUUUUGGCAUAUCAGAUUUCUUCCGAUGAGCAGAUUUCCAAUACUUGGAGGAGCUGGAUUCACCUUGAUGCUUCAGUUUGUUUCCAAACUUUCUUCCGAACUUCUUAUUGAACCUCUUCACAAAUAGAGCAAGCUCAUUACUGGAGUUGGAUUCUUCAUCAGACCAAGAUGAGUCUUCAGAUUCUUCAAUGGAGCUGAUGAUCUUCUUGGAUGAUUUCUUGGCUCUGAGUGCAAUGUUCUUCUUCGAACUGGAUCCAGGACCAUGGAUCAUCUUCUUUUCUUCCUGAUCAAGCUCAUAGGACACAAUUCUUCCAAGCACCCAGGUAGGGGUUAACUCCUUGAAGUCCGGCCAAUGCUUGAUCAAUUCACAGACAUUGGUGCACUCCAUGGGAAGAGCUCGAAGAAAUCUUCUGUUUUGCAUCAAAUCAGUGAUAUUGUGAUCAUCAAGAGUAUUCAGCCCAUUCACAAUGAUGCUCAUGCGAUCAUAGAGUGAAGAAGCAGUCUUAUGGGGCUCAAGCACAAGUCUGUCAAACAGACUGAUGAGACGAGUAACUCUAGAAUCUUUGACAGUGGUUGUCCCUUCAUGCACUUCAGCGAGAAGAUCCCAAAUCUUCGUGGCAUCAACAAGGUUACUGAUCUUGUUAAACUCAGCAUCACUGACAGUUCAGAAGAUGAUAUCACAGGCUUUGGCGUUCGCUUCAUACUUCUUCAGAGAAAUAGCAUCAUAUCCAGAGAUGGGGCCCUGAGGAACAACAAAAACGUUUGUGACAGCUUCCCAAGCACAAGGGUCAGUAGAUAUGAUGUGAAUCUUAAUUCGAUAUUUCCAAAAAGCAUAAUUGGUGCUGCUAAGAACAGGUAACUUCCCUUCCUUAGACAUACUUCUUCCUCAGGUGGUUAAACCAAAACAAGGAGACCUUGCUCUGAUACCAAGUGAAAGAUCGAGUACGUCACAGAUGGGGGUGAAUGUGACCAGUUUUAAUUCUUUCUUAAAAAAUGAAGACUGAAGACAGUCACAGUGCUUCAACAAGAUAGAUUUUACUUAGCAAUUUUAGAGAUGCAGCGGAAUGAAGAAACAUGAACAAGUUUAAGCAGUAGCAGUGAAGACAAGAACCCGUUCGGAGUGGGUCGUCUUAUAUAGCCUUGGCCACGGCUGAUCUAGCUGUUGUGACCCGUUGGAUAAAGUGAUCCUUGAGACUCCAGUUCACACUUUAUCUCUUUUGUCUCACAACGGUUAGAUUAGGUGGUCACAACGAAAGCGACGGAUUUUCAAACACAUUUGAAUCAGAGUGAAGACUUCACGCGGAAGUUUCUAUGAAGCCUGAAAAGCUUCAUUCUUCACUCCGACGAAAAACACUCGCACAGAAAAUGGUUUUCGCCUAAGCUGAACAUGAAGAAUAGGUUUCACCUGAACCAGCUCCACACUUCAAACCCCCCUUAACAGUACGGAGUUCCUAUACUCAAGUGAACAAAAAACUACAGAAAGAUCUAUGAAGAAAGCUACGCUUCAUGUUCUUCACUGAGUUCUUCAUACUUGAAGCCAGUACCUGUACUUCAAUUUUUAGGGGUCGUCGAUGCUGGUUAAACCAACUAUUCUGAGGAACUAAAACCUGAAACACUCCGUGUAACUCAUUAGUUCCUCAACCAUGUUGUCAUCAUUCAUCAAAACCCAUACAAGGCCAAGGUUUCCCUUUCAAAAAGAAAUACGCCCUUUUUCAGUCCCGGAAAGUAUUCAAAGACACGAGUCCGACUCAUAUCAGUUCAAAGGAACAAGGAUGUUUCUUUAUUAAUAUUGCUCACAUUAGAGCAAGAACGAUACAAAAAAAAAGAGAAAAAUACAAAGAGGGCCCACCUCCUGGCUCGGCGCAGGAGUCGACGAUGGUUGAGCCACUCCUCCCUCAGAUGCCAUGCUCCCCAGCUGAGCCGACAGUUCUUCCCCG